rnacentral:rRNA from 1 species
UCAGAUUGAACGCUGGCGGCAGGCUUAACACAUGCAAGUCGAGCGGUAACAGGUCCUUCGGGAUGCUGACGAGCGGCGGACGGGUGAGUAAUGCUUAGGAAUCUGCCUGGUAGUGGGGGAUAGCCCGGGGAAACCCGGAUUAAUACCGCGUACGCCCUUCGGGGGAAAGCAGGGGAUCUUCGGACCUUGCGCUAUCAGAUGAGCCUAAGCCGGAUUAGCUAGUUGGUAGGGUAAAGGCCUACCAAGGCGACGAUCCGUAGCUGGUCUGGGAGGAUGAUCAGCCACAUCGGGACUGAGACACGGCCCGAACUCCUACGGGAGGCAGCAGUGGGGAAUAUUGGACAAUGGGGGCAACCCUGAUCCAGCCAUGCCGCGUGUGUGAANAAGGCUUUCGGGUUGUAAAGCACUUUCAGUGAGGAGGAAGGCCUUAAGGUUAAUACCCUUGAGGAUUGACGUUACUCACAGAAGAAGCACCGGCUAACUCCGUGCCAGCAGCCGCGGUAAUACGGAGGGUGCAAGCGUUAAUCGGAAUUACUGGGCGUAAAGCGCGCGUAGGUGGUUUGAUAAGCGAGAUGUGAAAG